UAUGCUGAGAACUGAUAGCAAGCUGUACUUGUACAGUGAAGUGGCUGAUACCAUGCUUCCAGGAAAAGUCUCUAAGCUUCAGUUACAUAGGAAUCGUACCCGAAACCGACACAGGUGGUCAGGUCGAGUAGACCAAAGCGCUUGAGAGAACUCUGCUGAAGGAACUAGGCAAAAUGGUACCGUAACUUCGGGAGAAGGUACGCUGCCGACGGUGAUAGGAUUUACUCCUUGAGCUAUUGGCAGCCACAGAAACCAGGCCCCUGCAACUGUUUAUUAAAAACAUAGCACUCUGCAAACACGAAAGUGGACGUAUAGGGUGUGAUGCCUGCCCGGUGCUGGAAGGUUAAUUGAUGGGGUUAGCGUAAGCGAAGCUCUUGAUCGAAGCCCCAGUAAACGGCGGCCGUAACUAUAACGGUCCUAAGGUAGCGAAAUUCCUUGUCGGGUAAGUUCCGACCUGCACGAAUGGCAUAAUGAUGGGGGCGCUGUCUCCAGCAGAGACUCAGUGAAAUCGAAUUCGCCGUGAAGAUGCGGUGUACCCGCGGCUAGACGGAAAGACCCCGUGAACCUUUACUGCAGCUUGACAUUGAACUUUGAUCUUACUUGUGUAGGAUAGGUGGGAGGCUUUGAAACCGAGACGCUAGUUUCGGUGGAGCCAAUCUUGAAAUACCACCCUGGUAAUAUUGAGGUUCUAACUCUGUCCCGUAAUCCGGGACGAGGACCAUGUCUGGUGGGUAGUUUGACUGGGGCGGUCUCCUCCUAAAGAGUAACGGAGGAGUACGAAGGUGCGCUCAGCGUGGUCGGAAAUCACGCGUAGAGUAUAAAGGCAAAAGCGCGCUUAACUGCGAGACCCACAAGUCGAGCAGGUACGAAAGUAGGUCUUAGUGAUCCGGUGGUUCUGUAUGGAAGGGCCAUCGCUCAACGGAUAAAAGGUACUCUGGGGAUAACAGGCUGAUACCGCCCAAGAGUUCAUAUCGACGGCGGUGUUUGGCACCUCGAUGUCGGCUCAUCUCAUCCUGGGGCUGAAGCAGGUCCCAAGGGUAUGGCUGUUCGCCAUUUAAAGAGGUACGCGAGCUGGGUUUAGAACGUCGUGAGACAGUUCGGUCCCUAUCU
rnacentral:rRNA from 1 species